rnacentral:rRNA from 1 species
CCUACGGGAGGCAGCAGUGGGGGAUAUUGCACAAUGGGGGAAACCCUGAUGCAGCGACGCCGCGUGGGCGAAGAAGUAUUUCGGUAUGUAAAGCCCUAUCAGCAGGGAAGAAGAAAUGACGGUACCUGCGUAAGAAGCACCGGCUAAAUACGUGCCAGCAGCCGCGGUAAUACGUAUGGUGCAAGCGUUAGCCGGAUUUACUGGGUGUAAAGGGAGCGCAGGCGGCACGGCAAGCCUGAUGUGAAAGCCCGCGGCCCAACCGCGGGACUGCAUUGGGAACUACCGGGCUGGAGUGCCGGAGAGGUAGGCGGAAUUCCUAGUGUAGCGGUGAAAUGCGUAGAUAUUAGGAGGAACACCAGUGGCGAAGGCGGCCUACUGGACGGUGACUGACGCUGAGGCACGAAGGCCAGGGGAGCGAAAGGGAUUAGAUACCCCUGUAGUC